rnacentral:misc_RNA from 1 species
GGCACAGGUUGCGACAUCCUAGUUAUAUAAAUCAUCCUCAUCCGCAACUGCAGCUGAAGCUGCAAAAGGGUCGGUAGCAGCACCACCGCCUCCCCCAGACCCCGGCCGCUCAGAGAAGCGGAACUCUGUACCAAACCCCCUAGACUGCUGCAGGGUCUGGGCGAAAGCCUGGUACUUCCUAAUAUCCGCAUCACUCACACUCCUACGAGCAUACUUCAUCGACUCCUCGAAAUGAGCCGCUGUGAUCUCAGCCACCUCUUCGACUUCAUCCUCCUCCAUCGCUUCAGGGUUCGCCGCAGCCCUCCUCUCCCUUUCUAUAUCCUUCUCUAUGUUUUCUCUGAUGGCAUACUUGCAAGCACGCUGGCAUAUCUCGGUGAUGUCAGCACCACUGAAGCCCUGAGUGUACUUGGCGAGAGCGAGCAGAUCGACGUCCUUGGCGACAGGUGACUUCCUCAGGCAUGCCUUGAAGAUCUGGUGGCGGGAGGCUUCAUCGGGCAGAGGGAUGUAGAUUAGCUGGUCAAGGCGGCCUGGCCUGAGUAGGGCGGGGUCUAUGAUGUCAGGCCUGUUUGUUGCCCCGAUGAUGAAGACUGUCUUCUUAGCAUUCAUCCCGUCCAUUUCGGUUAAGAGUUGGUUCAGGACUCUGUCAGCAGCACCACCGGCAUCUCCGACGCUGCUCCCUCUCUGUGUUGCAAUAGAGUCAAGCUCGUCGAAGAACAGAACGCACGGGGCAGACCCCCGAGCCUUGUCAAAGAUCUCCCGGACAUUUGCCUCACUCUCACCAAACCACAUGGUGAGUAACUCAGG